rnacentral:lncRNA from 1 species
AUGUUCGGACAACUUGGAUAUAUUAGAUGUUUUAUUAGCGGUUAAAUUGCAAAUUUUGAUAAGUAUUUGGAGAGUAAACUGCCAUUUUGGUCCCUGAGGUUUAGUCACUUUUGCCACUUUAGUCCAAAUUUGAAAUCUUUUACAUCCGGUCCGUGUGGUUUUAUUUCUUUUGCCAUUUUGGUCUAAAAAAGAAAUCAGCUGCUAUUUCUAAAAAACCUUGUUUUUUGUCCUUUUCCUUCCAAGGGGUAAAAUGGUCAUGAACUCAAAUAAUUUAAAGUUUAUUUUUAUAUAAAAUCUCAAAAAAAAAAAAAAAAAAAAACUUGGUUUGACUUUAUAAAAGCUAUCAUCUUCCCCAAAUGCAACCAUAAUAAAAUCUUGGCUUGCUCCCCUGUUAUAAUUAAACAUCAAUUCGGUCACCGUAACUUCAAUUUGUUCCUAACUUCAAUUUCGUUGACACCUGCACAGUAUUUUUGUAGUGGAAUUCCUUGUAUUGCGACUUGUGCGUGUUCUCUGAUAAAUACUCCAAUACAGAGCAAUAGAGCCUUCGCUUGUAAUAUGUUAUCUUUUACUCAUAGAAAAGAGCGUGUUCCCUCAUGUAUAAUGGUUGUUUAAGAGGAAAUGUGAUUAUUAUUUAAAUUUGUAUGUGUCAACCAACCCACCACCACUGACAACCACCCCCGCCACCCUUUUCUUCCCCAACCGCCCCUCAGAUUCAACCACCAUUCGAGUAACAAAAACAAUUUGACACCAAAUAAUUCAACCCGUCACCAAAUCAAAACCCCACCCUUCACCCCUCUCACCAAAUCAGAUUUAGCUAUAAACAAAGUCGUUGAUUACCUGGUGUCCAACGAUUAAGGAGAAGUGAACGGCUGCUACGGGUCGCCAAAGAGAACUCCAAAGCCUCGUGUUAAGUUUGGCCCUAAUUCCAGUUCUAGUGAUGAAGAACUUACUCGCAUCAGGAGGUAGUGGGGCUGUGGUGGCUGGAUUUAGUUGUGGUGGGUUUGCGACGGCUGGAUCCGGUGCUGGUGGGGCUCGAUU